UUUCAGGUUUCUGCCACGGAGGAGAUGCUCUUCACGAAGGGAGAGUCAGACGGCCGCUCUGGCUUAAAGAUAUGUACAAACCUCUCAGUGCCACAAGAGUAAAUAAUCACGCAUGGAAGCUGCACAAGAAGUCAUCUAAUGAGGACGAGAUCCUCAACAGGGACCCUGGGUAAAUGACGGAGCCCUCACAGGUCCCAUCUAAAAUGAGGAGGGGGUGAGAAGCUUAAUUGCUCCUUUCAAGAAUCAAAACCUUGGCAUUGUUAUUCUUAUCCCAGGGACAGCGAAGCCCCAACAGAGAAGGGGGAGGAGAGUGAAGCCCUGCCAUAGGAGGAGAACCCAGCCCACCUCAGGCCUCCUGCAAAAACACAUAGCAUAAACAAUACCAUCAGAAAGAAAAGCAGGACUGAAGCCAGCGGCCCACACAUCCACAGAGGCAGCGGGCAGAGCAAGCACAGGGCCAUCGUUCCUGCCCUUGUUUCCCAGUCUAAUUAGUCACCCAGACCUGAAAACAUAUCCUCAGGGGGUGGAG
rnacentral:lncRNA from 1 species